CGUGAUGCCCACCUGAGCCACAAAACCAGCAAGUUUUUAUUAGGGAUUUUAGAAGGGGAGGGGAUGUACGAACAGGGAGUAAAUCACAAGUUUCUCAGGAA